GGAUCAGGCAGCGGCUCAGGCGACCCUGAGUGUGCCCCCACCCCGCCAUGGCCCGGCUGCUGCAGGCGUCCUGCCUGCUUUCCCUGCUCCUGGCCGGCUUCGUCUCGCAGAGCCGGGGACAAGAGAAGUCGAAGAUGGACUGCCAUGGUGGCAUAAGUGGCACCAUUUACGAGUACGGAGCCCUCACCAUUGAUGGGGAGGAGUACAUCCCCUUCAAGCAGUAUGCUGGCAAAUACGUCCUCUUUGUCAACGUGGCCAGCUACUGAGGCCUGACGGGCCAGUACAUUGAACUGAAUGCACUACAGGAAGAGCUUGCACCAUUCGGUCUGGUCAUUCUGGGCUUUCCCUGCAACCAAUUUGGAAAACAGGAACCAGGAGAGAACUCAGAGAUCCUUCCUACCCUCAAGUGAGUAUGUCCGACCAGGUGGAGGCUUUGUCCCUAAUUUCCAGCUCUUUGAGAAAGGGGAUGUCAAUGGAGAGAAAGAGCAGAAAUUCUACACUUUCCUAAAGAACUCCUGUCCUCCCACCUCGGAGCUCCUGGGUACAUCUGACCGCCUCUUCUGGGAACCCAUGAAGGUUCACGACAUCCGCUGGAACUUUGAGAAGUUCCUGGUGGGGCCAGAUGGUAUACCCAUCAUGCGCUGGCACCACCGGACCACGGUCAGCAACGUCAAGAUGGACAUCCUGUCCUACAUGAGGCGGCAGGCAGCCCUGGGGGUCAAGAGGAAGUAACUGAAGGCCGUCUCAUCCCAUGUCCACCAUGUAGGGGAGGGACUUUGUUCAGGAAGAAAUCCGUGUCUCCAACCACACUAUCUACCCAUCACAGACCCCUUUCCUAUCACUCAAGGCCCCAGCCUGGCACAAAUGGAUGCAUACAGUUCUGUGUACUGCCAGGCAUGUGGGUGUGGGUGCAUGUGGGUGUUUACACACAUGCCUACAGGUAUGCGUGAUUGUGUGUGUGUGCAUGGGUGUACAGCCACGUGUCUACCUAUGUGUCUUUCUGGGAAUGUGUACCAUCUGUGUGCCUGCAGCUGUGUAGUGCUGGACAGUGACAACCCUUUCUCUCCAGUUCUCCACUCCAAUGAUAAUAGUUCACUUACACCUAAACCCAAAGGAAAAACCAGCUCUAGGUCCAAUUGUUCUGCUCUAACUGAUACCUCAACCUUGGGGCCAGCAUCUCCCACUGCCUCCAAAUAUUAGUAACUAUGACUGACGUCCCCAGAAGUUUCUGGGUCUACCACACUCCCCAACCCCCCACUCCUACUUCCUGAAGGGCCCUCCCAAGGCUACAUCCCCACCCCACAGUUCUCCCUGAGAGAGAUCAACCUCCCUGAGAUCAACCAAGGCAGAUGUGACAGCAAGGGCCACGGACCCCAUGGCAGGGGUGGCGUCUUCAUGAGGGAGGGGCCCAAAGCCCUUGUGGGCGGACCUCCCCUGAGCCUGUCUGAGGGGCCAGCCCUUAGUGCAUUCAGGCUAAGGCCCCUGGGCAGGGAUGCCACCCCUGCUCCUUCGGAGGACGUGCCCUCACCCCUCACUGGUCCACUGGCUUGAGACUCACCCCGUCUGCCCAGUAAAAGCCUUUCUGCAGC
rnacentral:lncRNA from 1 species